CCAAGGAGUCUAACAUGUGCGCGAGUCAAUGGGGAUCUCUCGAGACCCACGGGCGCAAUGAAAGUGAAGGUGGCGGCUUGUCCUCACCGAGGCGGGAUCCGUCCGGACGGUGGGCGGGGGCGUCGCGUUUCGGCGAGGCGUCCUUUAGCUCCCGGGGGGUUGUUUACUCUGACCCCCUUCUUAACCAAAGAAUCCGGCGGCGCACCGCCGGCCCGUCGCAAACGCAACGCCGUUGCGGCGGAGCAAGAGCGUACACGUUGGGACCCGAAAGAUGGUGAUCUAUGCCCGGGCAGGACGAAGCCAGAGGAAACUCUGGUGGAGGUCCGUAGCGAUUCUGACGUGCAAAUCGAUCGUCGGACCUGGGUAUAGGGGCGAAAGACUAAUCGAACCGUCUA
rnacentral:rRNA from 1 species